GUAGGACACUCUCUAAAGCAGAAGAGGAGCUCCACAGAUCUAUGGCCAUAGAGACCUGGCUGAAGGAGAGAUUCAGGGAAGGAGCUCAGAGGAUGAAAGCAGACUGGUCCAGAAAUGUGAGUCUUAUUGAUUUAUGUAUAUAUCGUGUGUUUUGUUUUGUAGGUGAUGGCUGCAGGCUUUCUGCAGGUGCUAAGAAAGUUUGACCUGCAUCUGAAGAGAGAGCACCUGGCUCUGUUUCUGUCUCAGUGUGUUCUGAUGCUGAAUAAGGGUUGUGUGCAGUAUUUGAACUUUCUGCGCACCUUCCAGGACAGAAGUUCAGAUGGCAUCCCUGACAAGAUCAUCUCCCACCCAAAACACUGGUUUCAUUCUAAUGAGAACAUCAGUGGGGCUUCCUCAUUAAGAGGUCAAAUUAACUGACCUGUUUCAGUCAGAGUACCUCUCCCUCCUCCAAACCUUUCAGUUUGGCCUGGAGAUUUCCGACCCUCAGUUUGAGCAGCUGCUGGACAGGCUCCCUCUUGACCACCACGGAAAUGUGCAGUACCCGAUCUUCAUGGCAGCUUUUGACACCAGGAAAGGAGUUCCCAGCCUCUUCCAGGCAAACGCACAGCCUGUCUUGAACCAUGAUUCAGACGAGGAGAAGGGCUCAGAGGAGGAUCGGAGUGACCAUGAGCGUGUCCUACACAGAAUUCCUCAAGCCUAUUCUAUCCCAAAGUCAAAUAUGGAAGCACGGAUCCAAUAUGGCAGUGUAUUCUCUACCCUUCACUCACACCCGUCUGGACUCUUAGAUUACCGCCCGCUGCUAAUGGACAAACACGGGACAUCCAGUCACAGCCAGCCGGCCAAACACCAGCUCAGCCAAAGGAGUCAAUAGGUCAGAGGUUUCAAACAAAUGAUGGCUACACUGGCUUAGUACAUUUGUGAAUUGGAGAUGUCACAAUUUCUUUCACAUAAAGAGAGAUGCAAAACACAUUAACCCUAUUGGCUUCUUGCAGAAAUAAAGAUGCCCAAUUAAUAUUCAAGUUAUAAUCAUGACCUAAACGUUAGUAUUGUAUUGCAUUGCUUUAUAUUAGAUUUGGUUAGAUUCUAUGACUUGGGUUUCAUUGCUUUAUAGUACAGUGUGCUCAAAGCAGGGUAUAAUGAAAUUAAGUCGAUUGUCAUUGAUUUUCAUGAUUAUUUUGCAUAUUAUUUGUACUAUGCAAAUUUGAACUCAAUAAUGCUGAAAAAGAAAAUGACACAAAUUCUGAAAUUUUUUAUAACAUUUUUUGCACCAAAACUAUUUAAAACUGUGUCUGAUAAUGAUUUUUUUUUAAAUUCUUUUUCUAGAUUAAUAAUAUAAAGUACAAUAUUUCAUAUUGUUGAUUGAGAUUAUUUGAGGUUUUAAAAUCUUCUCAAACAUAUUUUUGUAAAAUUCGGACUACUAUAGGUCUGACUAGGCCUUCUCUUGUGUAAUUUGUAAAAGUGUCCAUCAUACUGA